rnacentral:rRNA from 1 species
CAGUCGCGUUUGCUGGGACUCAACCUUGCUUUUGCCUGGUGUACUUCUCAGUAAAUGGGCCAGCAUCAAUUUCGGGCGCCGGAAAAUGAUUGGAGGAAUGUAGCUUUGAUCUCGUAUCGAAGUGUUAUAGACUCUGGUAGACGUGACGGUUGGGAGUUGAGGAUUGCAACGGAUACCCGUUCGGGGCUACCCGUCUGAUCUCUGAAGGUUGCUCCGGU